rnacentral:rRNA from 1 species
CAGCCGCCGCGGGAAAACGAAGGGGGCUAGCGUUGCUCGGAAUUACUGGGCGUAAAGGGAGCGUAGGCGGACAUUUAAGUCAGGGGUGAAAUCCCGGGGCUCAACCUCGGAAUUGCCUUUGAUACUGGGUGUCUUGAGUAUGAGAGAGGUAUGUGGAACUCCGAGUGUAGAGGUGAAAUUCGUAGAUAUUCGGAAGAACACCAGUGGCGAAGGCGACAUACUGGCUCAUUACUGACGCUGAGGCUCGAAAGCAUGGGGAGCAAACAGGAUUAGAGACCCCAGUAGUCCCUGUCUCUUAUAC